CGCAGCUGAUGCAGCGACGCCGCGUGAGUGAUGAGGUCUUCGGGUUGUAAGCUCUGUCGUCAGGGACGAUGAUGACAGUACCCGUAGAGGAAGCAUCGGCUAACUCCGUGACAGCAGCCGCGGUAAUA
rnacentral:rRNA from 1 species